AGAAUCACUCGAUCUAGCUAGUCCUUCAUGCUGGGAGAGAUCACCAAGAGCGAGAGCUGCAAGAAGCCUACCAGUUGGCGAUCUAGACUGUGGAUCCAACAAAUAUUGUGCCAGAGGAGCAAUUGCAUAUUUAGAUACCUUCAGCUGUCGUACCCUGACAUUGUUGAAAAGGGCUUCAAGUAAUCUUCCCGAUGCUUCUUCACACUGGUGAGAUCUUAGCAGAUCCAGAAGGGCAUCAACUGCGCCUGCUUCAGCCAUCAGUUCCGCACAUGAAAUAUCGGCCUUUUCAUGAACUAUAAGUGCAUCUAGUGCAAGAGUGAUAGUGGUCUCGACUGUUGAACGCAGCAUCUUUACAAGAACCACCAGGGGAACUUUGAAGUAGUAAUCAGAGUUAGAGCAUAGGACAUUGCAG
rnacentral:misc_RNA from 1 species